UAUCAUGAAAGCUAACAGCCUAAUUAAAGCAACUAAAACCUUCAGUAGAAAUAGCAAGUAGUGCUGGGGAGAAUAAUGCUUCUUUAGGAAGCCCAGCACGCAUGGAACCCUGGAAGUGGAUAGUAUGAUCUCCAGCACGCAGUGCCCUUUUCUUACCUUCCGUGGUGGUCCAGGCAUUUGCCCAAUUUGGCGUUGUAUAUUUCACCAUUUGGACGCGGUUCUUUUCUUCAUUACGAGGGAUCAAGUUGUGCCCAAUGGGCAGCUACCUCUGCUUAGCAUGCAGUGAGCCUGACGCUUCAAAAGAUGCUUAAAUCUUAGGCACUAGCAAGCCAUUGGAGAUUUGGAGUGUACAAGAUCCUUGUUGUUGAUGUGAUCUAGAACUACAAUGGUGAAUGCAGGCUAAACAACAUGAAAAAUACAGUACGGAAUAAUCGAAACGCAGGCCGCUUUAUUUCCAGGAAUUGUGAUUUGUGGCCGCAGAAAGUAGGUGCCCAUGAUUAUACGUACAUUAUUAGUAGCUGCUGUUUCUCAUAUAUUUUCUGCAGCGGCAGUCGUACAUGUACACUAUGCCAGGCAGAUAAAGUUCAAUGGUUAUGCUCCACAACACAUCAUCAUCGUAUAUACUAUAUACAACUGUUCAACCGCCAUCUCCGAUGCAGGAAACAAUUCUGAAUUCUUCAGAACUGAACUUUCUAUUGCAUAUUUUCUUUGUUUUGAUAAUGGCAGCAGGAUACACCUUAGAGCAGGUACAAUAGCAGACUACAAAUCAACUAUAAAGAUAUUUUAAGAAUAUAAUAGAUGAGAGAGAAGAGGAGUGGCUAGCCAGAUGUAGCACUGACCCUGUACUCUAAGACAGAGUCACAGCAUGUGUAUGAUACGUGGAUUAUUGUAUAUUUUGUAGGAUUAUUGUA